rnacentral:lncRNA from 1 species
GAGAGUAGGAGAACUGGUCAAGAGAAUAGAGAAGGGUGAAGGAUAGAUGGAAAUGAGGAGAAGAGAAAGAUUUUGGGGUGAUUAUCACGGAUUUUAGAAAUUAAGGCUUGAGAUUUUGAUGAAGAGCAAGAGGGAGAUGGUUUUGAUCAAAGAUAUGUUGAGAGAAUGUGUUUAUCCUAGAAUUUGAGAUAGAAAAUCAAGAUUUUUAGGCGGUUAAGGGGAUAGAUUAGUGGGAUUGUGGCUGGUGGAGAGCUUGAAGAAGGGUUUCGGUAUGGGAUGAG